rnacentral:rRNA from 1 species
GACGAACGCUGGCGGCGUGCUUAACACAUGCAAGUCGAACGGAAAGGCCCUGCUUUUGUGGGGUGCUCGAGUGGCGAACGGGUGAGUAACACGUGAGUAACCUGCCCUUGACUUUGGGAUAACUUCAGGAAACUGGGGCUAAUACCGGAUAGGAGCUCCUGCUGCAUGGUGGGGGUUGGAAAGUUUCGGCGGUUGGGGAUGGACUCGCGGCUUAUCAGCUUGUUGGUGGGGUAGUGGCUUACCAAGGCUUUGACGGGUAGCCGGCCUGAGAGGGUGACCGGCCACAUUGGGACUGAGAUACGGCCCAGACUCCUACGGGAGGCAGCAGUGGGGAAUAUUGCACAAUGGGCGGAAGCCUGAUGCAGCAACGCCGCGUGCGGGAUGACGGCCUUCGGGUUGUAAACCGCUUUCGCCUGUGACGAAGCGUGAGUGACGGUAAUGGGUAAAGAAGCACCGGCUAACUACGUGCCAGCAGCCGCGGUGAUACGUAGGGUGCGAGCGUUGUCCGGAUUUAUUGGGCGUAAAGGGCUCGUAGGUGGUUGAUCGCGUCGGAAGUGUAAUCUUGGGGCUUAACCCUGAGCGUGCUUUCGAUACGGGUUGACUUGAGGAAGGUAGGGGAGAAUGGAAUUCCUGGUGGAGCGGUGGAAUGCGCAGAUAUCAGGAGGAACACCAGUGGCGAAGGCGGUUCUCUGGGCCUUUCCUGACGCUGAGGAGCGAAAGCGUGGGGAGCGAACAGGCUUAGAUACCCUGGUAGUCCACGCUGUAAACGGUGGGUACUAGGUGUGGGGUCCAUUCCACGGGUUCCGUGCCGUAGCUAACGCUUUAAGUACCCCGCCUGGGGAGUACGGCCGCAAGGCUAAAACUCAAAGGAAUUGACGGGGCCCCGCACAAGCGGCGGAGCAUGCGGAUUAAUUCGAUGCAACGCGUAGAACCUUACCUGGGUUUGACAUGGAUCGGGAGUGCCCAGAGAUGGGUGUGCCUCUUUUGGGGUCGGUUCACAGGUGGUGCAUGGCUGUCGUCAGCUCGUGUCGUGAGAUGUUGGGUUAAGUCCCGCAACGAGCGCAACCCUUGUUCACUGUUGCCAGCACGUUAUGGUGGGGACUCAGUGGAGACCGCCGGGGUCAACUCGGAGGAAGGUGGGGAUGACGUCAAGUCAUCAUGCCCCUUAUGUCCAGGGCUUCACGCAUGCUACAAUGGCUGGUACAGAGAGUGGCGAGCCUGUGAGGGUGAGCGAAUCUCGGAAAGCCGGUCUCAGUUCGGAUUGGGGUCUGCAACUCGACCUCAUGAAGUCGGAGUCGCUAGUAAUCGCAGAUCAGCAACGCUGCGGUGAAUACGUUCCCGGGGC